rnacentral:lncRNA from 1 species
UCUGUUGUGGCUUCCAUCUAGUCCACUCUUAUGCCGUUCUUGGCAUGUGCUCGUCUUCCGGAUCAGUGGGCUUCGCCCCUAGCUGUCUGUUAAAAUCUCGUGGAGAUUUGUUGUUUUGUGGCUUCAUUCCUAGGCUUUCAAGGGUUGAUGAAGACCUAGCCGCUUUCGAGAGUUCUCGUCUGAAUCUGUGAUUGAUUCUAACUUCUGGUUUAUGAAGCCUUGUUACUUGGUUCUUGAGGUGUUUCCUCAUUGUGCUAGGAGGAGGUGGUUUAGCGGUGGUCUGGCCGAGGGCAUUCACGUUAAACAGCUGUCAUAGAUUCUCUAAAAGCUAGUCAUCCCUGCUGUUGUUGUUAGACUUUUUCUGGAGGGUUAGAAGUUUAGUUGCUUGUGUUAAGAGUGUAGUUUGCUUCGUUCUUGUUUGCUACCCCGCAGUGGGUUCUAGUGUCCGGAGAUAUCUCUGUCUUCUACCGGUUUAGCUAACCACGGAGAAUCAUAUUAUCCGUUGGUGUUGUAUGAUCCUACUUUGGUUUAAUAAAAUAUGUUGAAGGAAAAAAAAAAAGAAAAAAAAAAUUCACAAACUAACCAAAG